rnacentral:rRNA from 1 species
GUCGAACGAUGAAGCUGGAGCUUGCUCCGGUGGAUUAGUGGCGAACGGGUGAGUAACACGUGAGCAAUCUGCCCUUGACUCUGGGAUAACUGCGGGAAACUGUAGCUAAUACCGGAUACGAGACUGAGAGGCAUCUUUCAGUCUGGAAAGAAUUUCGGUCAAGGAUGAGCUCGCGGCCUAUCAGCUAGUUGGUGAGGUAAUGGCUCACCAAGGCGACGACGGGUAGCCGGCCUGAGAGGGUGACCGGCCACACUGGAACUGAGACACGGUCCAGACUCCUACGGGAGGCAGCAGUGGGGAAUAUUGCACAAUGGGCGAAAGCCUGAUGCAGCAACGCCGCGUGAGGGAUGAAGGCCUUCGGGUUGUAAACCUCUUUUAGCAGGGAAGAAGCGAAAGUGACGGUACCUGCAGAAAAAGCACCGGCUAACUACGUGCCAGCAGCCGCGGUAAUACGUAGGGUGCAAGCGUUGUCCGGAAUUAUUGGGCGUAAAGAGCUCGUAGGCGGUUUGUCGCGUCUGCUGUGAAAAUCCGAGGCUCAACCUCGGACCUGCAGUGGGUACGGGCAAACUAGAGUGCGGUAGGGGAGAUGGGAAUUCCUGGUGUAGCGGUGGAAUGCGCAGAUAUCAGGAGGAACACCGAUGGCGAAGGCACAUCUCUGGGCCGUAACUGACGCUGAGGAGCGAAAGCGUGGGGAGCGAACAGGAUUAGAUACCCUGGUAGUCCACGCCGUAAACGGUGGGUGCUAGUUGUGGGUUCCAUUCCACGGAAUCCGUGACGAAGUUAACACAUUAAGCACCCCGCCUGGGGAGUACGGUCGCAAGACUAAAACUCAAAGGAAUUGACGGGGGCCCGCACAAGCGGCGGAGCAUGCGGAUUAAUUCGAUGCAACGCGAAGAACCUUACCAAGACUUGACAUAUAGAGGAAAAGCGUAGAAAUACGCUCCCCGCAAGGUCUCUAUACAGGUGGUGCAUGGUUGUCGUCAGCUCGUGUCGUG